CAGAGGCCACGCUAAUCUACUCUGUAUCGUUCCAAUUUUAGAAGAUUAGCAUGGCCCCUGAGCAAGGAUGACACGCAAAUUCGUGAAGCGUUACAAAUUUAU